UCUCUCUCUCUCUCUCUCUAUGCUUGUCUAGGGCUCUCAGCUUAUCCAUUCUAUGAUUUCCCUUUUGUAGAAUGACCCUAUUUUGGUAUGCAGCGCUUUGAGGAUCCUCCUACGGGCAUCAGUAGCCUGCUUCUUCAUGAUAUCUGGGGGUUUCCUACCCACGUUUGUGUCUGAUGUAAUCUGCUUAUUUUCUCCCCUUUUGUCCAAAAAAAAAAAAGACAAUAAUUCAGCAGUGAAGAGGAUCAGGGUUUCAAGCGAUCCUCAUUUGCACAUUCUCCUUCUCUCUCCAUGAGUAUUGAUCCUCCAUUUCAAGAGACCUGCAAUGCCCUUUUCAAGGGCCCUUUUGUAAGAGCGGAAGAUGAGAAGUUUGUCGUGGUUGAAGAAUGUGAGCUGCCUCUCAUUGAUAUGAAGUGUUUAACUUUGGGACAGAAAGAGAGAGAAAAGUGCAUAAAAAAGAUGGCUGAAGCAGCAAGUGAGUGGGGUUUCUUUCAAGUUGUGAAUCAUGGGAUUUCACAGGAGGUAUUGCAGAGCAUGAUAUAUGAACAAAUUAAGGUAUUUCAUGAGCCCUUGAGCAAGAAGACUGAAGAGAACUUCUUGAAUUUACCAUCAAACAGUUAUCGCUGGGGGAACCCUGAUGCUACUUGUUUGAGGCAAUUCUCUUGGUCAGAAGCUUUGCACAUUUCUCUUGCAGAUAUCUCAAGAAUGGAUGGAUACAAGACUACUCUCAGAUCAACUAUUGAAGCAUUCGCUGGAACAGCUGCCACCUUGGCUCAAAGCUUAGCUGAAACUUUAGCUCAGAACUUGGGUGUCAAAUCCAAUUACUUCGGAGAAUAUUGUACACCCAACACUAGUUAUCUACGAAUGAACAGAUAUCCUCCAUGUCCAUUCUUCUCUGAUCAGGUCUGUGGUUUGAUGCCUCACACAGACAGUGAUUUCCUCACAAUAAUCUAUCAAGACCAGACUGGAGGAUUGCAACUUAAGAAACAAGGAAGAUGGCUCACUGUUAGACCUAAUCCUCAAUCUGUAAUCAUCAACAUUGGUGACCUAUUCCAGGUGUUGAGCAAUAAUGUUUUCAGAAGCAUGGAACACAGAGUGCUUGCCCCAAAACAAGUUGAAAGGUUUUCUGUUGCAUAUUUCUACUGCCCAUCAUAUGAUGCUGUAAUACAGUGCUACGGGAAGCCAGCAAUGUAUAGAAAGUUUAGUUUCAGAGAGUAUAAGCAGCAAAUCCAAAAGGAUGUUCAAGCUACAGGUGAUAAAGUUGGGGUCUCAAGGUUUCUCUUGUAAAAUACAUAUAUAUAUGCGCCUCAUCAUUGCAACAGAACAGAAGUAUUACGAAGAUGAUCAAUAACAAAAAAAGAUUAAAGUUUGGUGGGCAGCCCUGCUAGUGCUGGUCCCCUGAUGAUAAAGACCAAGAAAAGAAAAACACCUUUUAUCUCUCCAGUACAAUUUAUCUCGUGAAGACUAUAGGUAAAGAAAAUGGAAACAUGUACUACACUCGUUUACAUACAGACAUAUUAUGAUUCUCCAAGUACCAACAUCUUUUGAAGUUGCAACUCCUUCUACUUGUUUGUGUGUGGGGUUUUCUUAUUCUUUAUUCUCUUCAUAAUUAAUAAUUUACUAGAGAACCUUGAUCAUAUAGCUGACUUUUUACACUCAGUCUGUUUUUAUUAUUUAUCUUUUCCUAUUUUUUGGCUUUAAG
rnacentral:misc_RNA from 1 species